rnacentral:rRNA from 1 species
GACGAACACUGGCGGCGUGCCUAAUACAUGCAAGUCGAGCGCAGGAAGCCGACGGAACCCUUCGGGGGGAAGUCGACGGAAUGAGCGGCGGACGGGUGAGUAACACGUAAAGAACCUGCCCUCAGGUCUGGGAUAACCACGAGAAAUCGGGGCUAAUACCGGAUGGGUCAUCGGACCGCAUGGUCCGAGGAUGAAAGGCGCUCCGGCGUCGCCUGGGGAUGGCUUUGCGGUGCAUUAGCUAGUUGGUGGGGUAAUGGCCCACCAAGGCGACGAUGCAUAGCCGACCUGAGAGGGUGAUCGGCCACACUGGGACUGAGACACGGCCCAGACUCCUACGGGAGGCAGCAGUAGGGAAUCUUCCACAAUGGACGAAAGUCUGAUGGAGCAACGCCGCGUGAACGAUGAAGGCCUUCGGGUCGUAAAGUUCUGUUGUAAGGGAAGAACAAGUGCCGCAGGCAAUGGCGGCACCUUGACGGUACCUUGCGAGAAAGCCACGGCUAACUACGUGCCAGCCGCCGCGGUAA